rnacentral:tRNA from 1 species
GCCAGAGUGGCUUAAUGGUAAAGCAGCUUUUUCGUAAAAAGAAGAUUGCGAGUUCGAUUCUCGCCUCUGGCUC